CUGGCAUGAAAUAUUUACAGCUGUGAGACCCAAAAAAAAAAAAAAAAUCAGAAGAAAGAAGCAAGCCUUACUUGACCUGGUAGGCAGGGGAAUGAUGCAGUUGCACAAACAACAGAGAAGCACUUCGCCCUAAAACCCGUCGCUCUCCUGGGAUCCCUGCAUGUACCCGUCACUCAAGCGGAAGACCCAGGAGUUGUCUUCAGCGGCUUCCUCCCCUCACCCCUGCACCCAGGCACUGACAUAGUUCCAUCUAUUCCGUGGCUAGCAUAUCUCCGUGCCUGGGAUACCCCUCGGCAGCUCAGGUCCUCCGAGCUCUCCCUGACCAACACAGUCACACUUCUCACUGAGUUUUCUCUAUCCUGGGUUUUCCUCAUUCCAACUGCUUCUCAUAGCCAACAGCAUGGCUUGGAAGGUCCUUCAAGCUCCAGCCCACACGUGCAUUCCAGCUUAUCCUUUGCCCAGCGCCCGAGGCCCUGUCCAAGCCCGCCAUUCGCGACACAUGCUGAAAACCCGUCAUCGCCGUGUGCACUGUCGUGCUGUGGUGCAGGCUUUUCCCUCCGCAUGGGGCUAUCUCAGCCCCGCACAUUCUUGUGUGCAUCCUUCAGCACUUACUUCAGAUGUUCUCUCUCCUUUCCUAAUCCCUCCUGGAUCCCUCCUGAGCUAGACUCGGGAGCUGUCUACACUGCGCUCUCCAUCCUGGUAUGGAGUCUCAUCAGAGCAUGUUUCAUACAAUAUGGCAACCAUCACCCUGUCUCCCUGUCCACUCCUGUGCGCUGUGCUCUAUGUGAUGGAAGCGUGGCCAUAAGAGACAUGGGAGAGGCUCAGGAAAACAAGGUCUUACACUCACAGAUCCUAGAAACAGGAGGCACUCCACGCAACACAGGGUCACGGGGGGACAUGCCAGGUUUUAGUCAGGAGGCACAAGACAGGGGCAGAGGAAUGUCUAGGACAGAGCCUUUAUUGGGGUCUCCUAAGAUCUAAGAUAAGGCAAGGCAGGGCAGGGUAAACAUUUCAGGAUUGGCUAGUUUGAAUAUUUCCUCCGGCUUUAGGCUAUUAAGGUGGUGCCUCGCCACCUGGUACCAGGCUCUGAGAUGGUUAGGGAAGAGGGCUAUUGCCUCCUGGAGUGUAAAGGAUAAAGGAGGUUUGGCUCUGGAUUGGUUGGUUUGCUGCUCAGAGGCAUGCUCCCAGAGGCUGAACACUUUCCCAUCUCUAAGAGUUGGCCAGUCCCUGAAGGGCAGUCAAUAAAAAAGCCAGAAAGGUUUUAAGAUGUCACAACAUCAUAAUAUACAGAAAAUAAAAAAUGUAAACAAUACAACUCCCAA
rnacentral:lncRNA from 1 species